rnacentral:sRNA from 1 species
AUAUUAAACUCUAAAUUACACACACAUAUCGGCACAUGGUGCGGGGUGCUUGGAUUGCUUAAAUGCAAUGCGGGUCGCAACAUGGGAUAUGUGGAGGCAUAAC